rnacentral:rRNA from 1 species
AUUGAACGCUGGCGGCAGGCCUAACACAUGCAAGUCGAGCGGGGUUUUCGGACCUAGCGGCGGACGGGUGAGUAAUGCGUAGGAAGCUGCCCGAUAGAGGGGGAUACCAGUUGGAAACGACUGUUAAUACCGCAUAAUGUCUACUGACCAAAGUGUGGGACCUUCGGGCCACAUGCUAUCGGAUGCGCCUACGUGGGAUUAGCUAGUUGGUGAGGUAAUGGCUCACCAAGGCGACGAUCUCUAGCUGGUUUGAGAGGAUGAUCAGCCACACUGGAACUGAGACACGGUCCAGACUCCUACGGGAGGCAGCAGUGGGGAAUAUUGGACAAUGGGCGCAAGCCUGAUCCAGCCAUGCCGCGUGUGUGAAGAAGGCCUUCGGGUUGUAAAGCACUUUCAGUGAGGAGGAAGGGGUGUGUGUUAAUAGUACACACCUUUGACGUUACUCGCAGAAGAAGCACCGGCUAACUCUGUGCCAGCCGCCGCCGUAACAC